CCUUUUCAAAAUACCUAAAAAAAAAAUUGCAGGAAAGUGUGAAACAGAAAUCUAGACACAAUUAAUUGCGCGACAUUUGUUAGGGGUAAAAGGGGGAAGUCGAGAAAUUUAAAUUGAAUUUUCGUCGGAAAAAAAAUUCAUUUGCUGGCUCCUCCUUGUUGUCGUUUUUUUUUCCCUCCCAAGUCAUUUGUUUGUCUUGGCCAAAGCAUGACUUUAAGGCCAAAUUCGGUCUCUGUUUCAGCUUCAGUUUGUAGCAAAUUGAGUGUCUUUGGGUCUGGAAACCCACUCUGUUUGGCUUUCAAAUUUGCCAUUAUCACCUAUCAUUGGUGCUUUGCCACUGGAUUUGUGGGCCUGUUCAAGUGUGAGGCCAUAAAAAACGAACGGCCAGUGAGAAGGUAGCAUGGCUGUUCCGUUGCCGAAUUUAUUUCUCUUAGUGCAGAAAUCAGAGUUCUUGGUCUCCAGUCCAGCCCCCACUGUCAUUCCCAUGCAGAUUGGCAUCUUUGUAUCUCUGUAUCGGAUCGUGUGUGUUUACCUUGCCACCCACCCACACAUAACAUAUAUAAAACACCCAGGCAGCCACCCAAAUCUAAUACGUUUCCUUGCUUAACUUUUGCCAAUGUCCCGAGCCAUAAAUUUGCGUCGGCAAAUCCUCAUUGUCGUUGUGUGAUUUAAACUUUUUUCCGAGCAAAUGCGAAAAUGCGAAAAGGAGCCUCGGGAUGUGAGCCAAAAAUUGACAAGACGAGACUCGAAAUGGUGGAGCCGAAAAUUGAAAUUAAGGCGGAGAUUUAUGAGGCGGGGGACCUGGAUUUCGCAUUUCGCAUUUCGUAUUUCGAGUGGACCAAAGCCGGGGGUUAAUUGACUCUGGCUCCUCUGGCAUCUGCAAAUGCCCUGCAAGGCAGAAAGGCUCCAAGGAGGCUGACCCACGACCAGAAGUCAGGCCAAAGUUCACAAACAACUGGAGGACUCCAGGGUGCGGGGGAGCGGGAUAGCGGGUGAGCGGCGACAAGUUCAUUGGGAUUGGCACAAUGCUGGAAAACAUCUUGGCCUGCAUGCAGACUCAACGACAGAUUGACAAACAAGCCGCAGUCAGCCAAGCAGCAACAGCAUUUGCCAUUUCCCAUUUGCCGGAGGUGCGAGGUGCGAGUUGCAAGGGGCCAGGCUCCACUGUACCGUCUGCAUUCACAAGACUUUGGCUUUACGGUGGCCCCUACCCGGCGAAUGGUUGCGAGUUUUCGACACCAAAUCUCUGGGUUUGCUGCUCUUAAAACAAAACGCACAAUUCGGUAG